AGUGAACGCUGGCGGUAGGCCUAACACAUGCAAGUCGAACGGCAGCACAGUAAGAGCUUGCUCUUACGGGUGGCGAGUGGCGGACGGGUGAGGAAUACAUCGGAAUCUACUUUUUCGUGGGGGAUAACGUAGGGAAACUUACGCUAAUACCGCAUACGACCUACGGGUGAAAGCAGGGGAUCUUCGGACCUUGUGCGAUUGAAUGAGCCGCUGUCGGAUUAGGUAGUUGGCGGGGUAAGGGCCCACCAAGGCGACGAUCCGUAGCUGGUCAGAGAGGAUGAUCGGCCACACUGGAAGUGAGACACGGUCCAGACUCCUACGGGAGGCAGCAGUGGGGAAUAUUGGACAAUGGGCGCAAGCCUGAUCCAGCCAUACCGCGUGGGUGAAGAAGGCCUUCGGGUUGUAAAGCCGUUUUGUUGGGGAAGAAAAGCAGCAGGUUAAUACCCCGCUGUUCUGACGGUACCCAAAGAAUAAGCACCGGCUAACUUCGUG
rnacentral:rRNA from 1 species